GAGGUAUUUCAAGGCCUACCUUCAAACUCAGUGCCUCUUUGCUUGACAUCACAGCUUUUCUAAAGAAAUCAGCCAAGAUCUGAGAAAAUAAAUUGCAGACCGACAAGUCUGGUUUGUCCUGGGGAGCAAUUUCCAAAUGUUAUUUUAUUGUUGCUCUUUUAUUUUUUACUUUAGUUUAUUUAGUAAAUAUUUUUCAUAAAACUGCAUUGUUGGUUUAAGGGCUUGUAAGUAAGCCAAGAUGUUUUUUAUCCGGUGAGAAUCAGUGUGAUGCCAGCUGGUGCCCCAGUGUAUGUGAAACGUAUCUGCUUUGUCCUACUUCUCCCUUUUAAUCCCUCUCUUGUCUGUAGGAAUUUUGUCCUGUCUACAGUCAGCUCGAGGGUGAUACAUGUGAAAGCACAGGGCAGUGUGACUGAGCUGCUGCUGCGAAAGCAUUGCAAGGCACUGCAUGCUGUGGCAUAUCACCCCCAGCAACCAGUUGUUGCCUUGGGCAGCCACAGUGGCACCCUGAGGGCGUGGAACUAUGAGCGCAAGGUGUCCAUCUGCAGCAGGGUCUUUGAGAAGGAGAGGCAGAUUCAGUGCAUCGCCUAUGACCCCCCCCCCAAGGUGACCCAGCAGGCCAGAGGCUUUUGUCAGUUUAAUUUCCUAUAAGUAAAACCAUAUGCAUAUUGAUAUUCUCACAUUUGAUUUGUGGUAUGCAGAGAACUCUCCUUAAAAACAACAUAUUCUCUGUUUGCUUGAGUUGGCUCAGCUUUGACCAGGCUAUCCUGUGUGUCGGUGAACAGGAUUAUACUUGGCAGUUGGAUUUGCAAGUGGAGCUGUCCAUGUACUGGAUGCUUGCACAUUGUAGAGUGAGGCAGAGGAGCGACCCAACUACAGCCACUCUCAUUACCUUCUCUCCAGACUCCCUCUACCUGGCCACAGCAGUGAGCAGACACUGUGGUUCUGGCAUUGGGAUUGGAAAGUAACAGGUUUGAGCCCUCUACCUUGAAGCAUUAUAAUCAAACUGAAGCUAACAAAUUGCACGUUUCCCUCGUGUUUUGUUGCUACUGUCAGGAUGCUGGAAAAGCGGUGAUGGUGUUUGGCUUGUACACUGGUAGGAGCAUGCAGUGUUGGAAGUACCUGUUGAGGCAUCACUCCUACUAUAAGCCCAUCAGGGACUUCCUAUUUGGGGUGUACCUGGACAGCACCCAAACCAGACUAUUCUCCCUGGGCAUGGACCAGCCCCUCACACUUCGUAGGGCUCUGGUUUACUUACAUGCAGUGGUUCUUUACUUGCUGAACCACUAGGCAUGCUGAAUCACGUUGGAUAACUUUGCCUUGGUGUGUGGUGAUUCAUUAGGUGGAGAACGACCUGGAAAAUAGCAAUGAGAAUGAGCUGAUGAUCCUGAGCACAUUGAGCAGAGCGUCGGGCCCACCUUUAUGGCUUGGUGCACACCCCUCACCACAGAGGAUUUCCUGCUCACUGCCUCUGGCCUCUACAAAGUGAAGCUUUUCAACAGCAUCACCAAGAUGUGCAGGUCAGCACCCAAAUAACUGUCUGUAAAAAUAUGAUUAGUCCUCUUAUUUCACGGCCUCUGUGUCACUGGGGUGUAGUAUGAAGGCCACAAAUGAAGGAUCAUGACCCUAGCUCUCAUUAAAUGGCGUACAUCACAGAAGACAAGGUAAGUGUUGAUUCAUGCCCAAUCGUAUCAAACUACCUCCUCAGUCAGACCAAAUAUGUAUGAAAGUCUUUAUUUUAGGGGCCAGACUUGUGUGUAUUUCUUGCCUAAUAAAGAGAUACUGGUUUCAUUGUCACUUGUCAUAAUGUCGUCUUUUUCAAGGUGGAUCUCGAGAUUCUGCCCAUUGAUGGGAACCCCCAAGUUCUCUGCUCUGAUUUGCCACCCAACAGGGGUAUCUGCUAUGGCCUUUUCCAAUGACAUUCUAUAUGUCUUCACUGCUGGGGGUCUGACUGAAGUCCUCACAUGGGAGAUUAGUUUAAAGAAAUGGAGGACUUUUUCUAUUACUGUCAGCUGUGUAAACAAGGCAUUGACUCCAUGGAGAUCCGACAGGUGUCCACCCGAAUCCCACUAGCAAAGGUCCCCUUUAUCAUGAGGGCUCUGGGCUUCCUCCCCAUUGAGCAAGAGCGGAACAUAUCACUGAGGACAAGCUGGCAGAAUUUUUCUCCACACUGGUGUAGGACUGAAUCCAAAGAGGGGGAGAUCUGAGCUGGAAGCCAUUGAAUGUGAUGGUAUGUAUCACCAUGUUGAGCUCAGAGUAGUGUCUAAAAAUGAGACUGAGACACCACAGCUUUGAUAGUCCACCAUUAAAAGUGUGUGUGGGACAGAUUCAGAAGACAUGCUGGAUUGUGAGAUCCUGGAGGAGAUUUCCAUGGAAACAUUUUCUAAUGAUUUCCUGGGGUUUGUUCCCUCCUCCCAAGAGGGAAUGUUGUCCCCCUCAGGGUCAGAAGUUGUAUAGAAAUUACAUGUUUUCUUCUUUUAGAAAAGUUUAUAUUUAUCAAUUUCCUUUAAAAACAGCUCAUUUUACAUUGUUAAAUCUUCUAUCUACAGAGCUUGUGCUGCUAGGUGACCUAAACUGGGACAUGCUUAACACCCCGGCCAUCCUACAUUCUAAGCUAGA